rnacentral:rRNA from 1 species
AUGAGGCCAAAAGCCCUGACGCUGCUCCUGCCUCUCGCCUUCCUCCUCCUCCUCCUCCUCGUACCACCGCUGGCAUCAGCUGAGGCGAGGUCUGAUUGUACGAGCCAAGUCAUCGAUCCGAUGGGCAACAAGUGCGAUCGCCCGGGUUGUUACUUCAGCAGCCGCGUAGCGUACGCUCAGAUAGGGUGCCAUAAACCCGCGGUCAGUUGUUCUUGGACCGCCUACUGCAGCAGCGAGGGGUGCAACUUCACCUACUGCAUGAGGAUUUCACAGUCUACAGCAGGCAUUGUAUCUGUAUGUAUGCAUGCUUGCAUCAUUGCAUGGAGCCUGACCAAGUUACUACUCUGGCGGCGGCAAUCAGCGGCUACCGGCUGCGUCAAGCUCUGCCCAACCACAACUGACCGUGUUGUGCAAGAGUCAAUCCCAAUAUUGCAGUUAACUCUUUCUGGCAGGCCCCAGGCCAAAUACAGAGCAAUACCUAGGUUGGGGGGCCCUUUGUAUCCAGAGGGCCAGGGUGACGGGCCCCCACGCCCCCUCGGGGUUGGGCCCGCAGCUACCAUGGCUUAUAUCGAACUCAUAGUUUCAAACUUCACCAGCAAGUCCCUGGAUACGCCUCCCCUCUGCUUGCCGCUCCGACGUUCUGUGGGGGGAGGGGAAUCCCGGUGCCUUGGCGCUCUGUCAAAUGACGACGGUUCUUCUUCGAGUUUGUCUUCCGAACUCCAAUCCCUUGCUUUGUCUAGAUGUUGCCGACGGAGCUCUGAUGUAAAUUUGUGUUGUCUCCUUGAAAUGCUCAGCUACGCCAAGUACCUCAACGCAUGGGGAAGAUCACUGGAAGGCACUAUGGAAGUUGUCGGUCCAACCCAAGUGCGAUCAUGCACUUUUAUUCUGGCGGGAAGCGGAGGAUUUCUUCCAGGAACAACGUCGCCGAUGGCUGGAUGGCAAACAUCGUGCGCGUGUCGUCUAAUAAGUGUCGGCUGUAUAGCAGGGCUCAUCAUAAUCUCAGUGAUGUGGGCGAUCUGGACCAGUCUUAACAAGUUUACCCAUAAUGAGGUUCAGUUCCAGCCUCACAGAUUGAUGGAGAUCAUCAGGGAUCAUGUCCAAAGUCUUGAUUUUCCAAAACCAGGAGUGGAGAGACCAGUUCAGAGGCACAUUUGGGAGGCGCCGGAGCAUGGUUGGAUGAAACUGAAUUCUGACGGGGCGGUUGAUCAGGUGCUGCAACGUUCUGGAACGGGAAUAGUUGUGCCAGAUGGAGAUGGUCAGUUUCUUACUGGCAGGUGUAAAAAAUACCAAGGGGCGUUUGAUCCGUUGGCGAUCGAGCUAUCAGCAUGUCGGGAUGCUAUGAUACUACUAGCAAGUGAACAAGGCUAUAACUAUAACCAAGUUGUGAUUGUGGAGUAG